ACUCAAAUGAAUUGACGGGGACUAGCACAAGCGGUGGAUGAUGUGGUUUAAUUCGACGUCAAACGAAGAACCUCACCAGGAUUAGAAAUCUAGUUGAAGACAGUAAGAAACUAUUGUCGUCCGCAAGGACAAUUAGACAGGUGCUGCAUGGCCGUCGUCAGUUCGUGGUUUGAACUGUUCCCUUAAGUGGGGUAACGAACGCAACCCUCGUUGGCUGUUACAAGUGUCAGCCGAGACUGCCCGCGACUCAGAACGCAAUUCCAAAAGAAUUGUAGAUUGAGUCGCGGGAGGAAGGCGAGGAUGACGCCAGGUCCGCAUGGCCCUCUGAUAUCCUGGGCCACACACAUCAUACAAUCGGUGCGACAACAGGUCGCGACGGGGAAACCCUGAGCCAAUCCUUAUAAACGCACCGCCAGUUCGGAUUGAGGUCUGCAACUCGACCUCAUGAAGCCGGAAUCGCUAGUAAUCGCAGGUCAGCUAUACUGCGGUGAAUACGUUCUCUAGUCUUGUACACACCGCCCGU
rnacentral:rRNA from 1 species